UUGUCCCUGUAAACUGAGACUCGUGCAUAACAUCCAACAACGUCUUUGAAACGCAUUGCCGCGCGCGCAGCGCCGCUUCGUAUCCAAGGGAAACUUCUUUUUCUCCCGUUCAGUGUUCAGCCGUGUUUCCGGCCGAUUUCCAAUGUAAAUUUACAAGCUCGAGGCGGCAGUUUGGCUAGAUAUUUCUUUCGCCAUGGUAUACCUCUCUACCUGCCAUCUACCUACGUCCACCGUUAUCAUCUCCUACGAUUCAAAUGGAUCGCCAUACCUGUAGCCGAAUUGGAACGUACUGCCCGUCCAGAGAACCGCUUUCGAAUCUCGAGGAACUGGUGUUGAAACUGGUCACGUGCAGGGAAGCGUUCCGAGGAUGAAACGUGUAAGAUCUGGUGAGGUCGAGGGUGUGCCAUGUCAGUCCACCGCUGGAAUGGCCGGUCAACCAGUUGGGGAAUCGGCACUGGCCAGGUGGCGACACUUCUGCCUCCACUGAUCGAACCGAAUUGGACCAGAACUCCUUCGUUUUUAAAACGUAUUUAGAAUAAGAGGGCUUCGCGAUUUCUGAUUGUUCAACCUCUCUGAUUAUUCGUUCGCUUUUCUCUCUCCCUUUCUCUCUCACGUUUUUUUAUCCGUGUCACUUAAACGGUUCGUUUCAGCCGGUGCCGAUGGAAUAUUUGAGAAUGGGACGGGCGGACAUUGGGUAAUCGACUCGACCUUCGAAUCGUUGCUUUAAUUCCAUUUGAUCGAGCUCGAUCGUCGCAGGUAGAUGGAAUCUAAGAGCCUCGAGGAGAUAAGAAGCGGAAUUAUCGUGAUAAUAUUCAAGACGCGCCCGGUAUAUUCUUUAAACGAAUUCUAUCCCGAGCAUUUACAUCUUCGUAUCGACCUGAUUGAGACCGUCUGAAUUUAAUGAUCAUGGAUAAUAAUAUCGAUUAAACAUUUUCGAGUAUUUUUAAUCUUGCACUUAUUUUGGAUAAUUUAAUUUAAAUAAGAAUAAGAAAAAUUUUUAUAUAUCUUCUUAAAUGGAGUACAUGUAUACUCAAUAGUGCUCAUUAAACAAGAUUUAAGUUCGAAGAGAAAGAAGAAAAGAAGAGAUGUAGCCUUCGAGGAAAUAUAUAUAUAAUAAUCCUUUAUAAAAUAGUAAUAUCAAUAAUAUUCAUUUGUAAUAAGAAUAAUUAUAAAACUUAAAAACAACCAUAAUUACGAAAUGCGAUACUAGUGCCACAUGACUUCCAAGCAACUUAAAUUCAUUGACACCAGCGCCACAUAAUGUAUCUCUGUCUUUAAAUGAGAAAAUAAAUAAAGGUAAAAGAACGAAAAAA